AUGAAAACACAAUGAUGAGAAGAUGCUUUCUUUUUCUUUUUUCUUUAUCCAUAAUUAAACCUCUGAUCCUAACAAAAUCUAACAAAACUCAUUUGUAAGCAGAUAAUUCUUAAGAAAUAUUCAAUUACAGAAAGCAUUCAGUAUCUAAAGUAUA